rnacentral:rRNA from 1 species
UUUGAUCCUGGCUCAGGAUGAACGCUAGCGGCAGGCCUAAUACAUGCAAGUCGAGGGGUAAGGCUCACUUCGGUGAGUACACGACCGGCGCACGGGUGCGUAACGCGUAUGCAACCUACCUUUAACAGGAGAAUAGCCCCGAGAAAUCGGGAUUAACACUCCAUAACACUGCGAAGUGGCAUCACUAUGCAGUUAAAACUCCGGUGGUUAAAGAUGGGCAUGCGUGACAUUAGAUAGUUGGUGAGGUAACGGCUCACCAAGUCUACGAUGUCUAGGGGUUCUGAGAGGAUGAUCCCCCACACUGGUACUGAGACACGGACCAGACUCCUACGGGAGGCAGCAGUAAGGAAUAUUGGUCAAUGGACGCAAGUCUGAACCAGCCAUGCCGCGUGCAGGAAGACAGCCUUAUGGGUUGUAAACUGCUUUUAUACAGGAAUAAACCCCCUUUCGUGAAAGGGGCUGAAGGUACUGUACGAAUAAGGACCGGCUAACUCCGUGCCAGCAGCCGCGGUAAUACGGAGGGUCCAAGCGUUAUCCGGAUUUAUUGGGUUUAAAGGGUGCGCAGGCGGACCUAUCAGUCAGUGGUGAAAUCUCUCGGCUUAACCGGGAAACUGCCAUUGAUACUGUAGGUCUUGAGUUUGGUUGAAGUGGGCGGAAUGUAGCAUGUAGCGGUGAAAUGCAUAGAUAUGCUACAGAACACCGAUCGCGAAGGCAGCUCACUAAACCAAAACUGACGCUCAGCACGAAAGCGUGGGUAGCGAACAGGAUUAGAUACCCUGGUAGUCCACGCCGUAAACGAUGAUCACUCGUUGUUGGCGAUACACAGUCAGCGACCAAGCGAAAGCGAUAAGUGAUCCACCUGGGGAGUACGUUCGCAAGAAUGAAACUCAAU